rnacentral:misc_RNA from 1 species
ACUCAUAAUGCCAUACAGACAUUAGAUAAGACAAUUUCAAAUUUAGAGAUGGAAUUAGCUGCUGCAAGAGCAGCACAGGAGUCCAUGCUCAGUGGAUCUCCGUUAUCAGAGGACUUAAAGAAGACUGAAUCAUCUGGGAAAAGAAGGUAUUUGAUGGUUGUUGGAAUUAAUACUGCUUUCAGCAGUCGGAAAAGACGAGAUUCAGUUCGUGGAACGUGGAUGCCACAAGGUGAAAAAAGAAAGAAACUUGAAGAAGAGAAGGGUAUCAUCGUUCGCUUCGUCAUUGGUCAUAGUGCGACGUUAGGAGGCAUUUUGGACAGAGCAAUUGAAGCAGAGGAUAGAAAGCAUGGAGAUUUCUUAAGGCUGGACCAUGUUGAAGGAUACCUUGAAUUGUCUGCGAAAACAAAGAUAUAUUUUGCUACUGCUGUUGCUUUAUGGGAUGCAGAUUUCUAUGUCAAAGUGGAUGAUGAUGUCCAUGUAAAUAUAGCAACACUAGGAGAAACUCUAGUUAGACACCGAAAGAAACCACGGGUAUACAUUGGAUGCAUGAAAUCUGGUCCUGUUCUUAAUCAAAAGGGGGUUAGAUACCAUGAACCAGAGUAUUGGAAAUUUGGCGAGGCAGGAAACAAGUACUUCCGCCAUGCUACUGGACAGCUAUAUGCCAUUUCAAAAGAUUUGGCUACAUAUAUAUCAAUAAACCAGCAUGUUCUGCACAAGUAUGCUAAUGAGGAUGUUUCAUUGGGAUCUUGGUUUAUUGGACUUGAUGUGGAGCACAUCGAUGACCGGAGACUAUGUUGCGGCACCCCACCAGAUUGUGAGUGGAAG